GAUGUUCCAUGAUAGCAUAUACAAGAACCUAUUUACAAGAGCCUAUCCGAACUUCUAUCCGAAAUAGACAACGUGGAAUACCUUCAGCAUUUAUCCGCUAUGGGCAGCACUGGUCUAGAAACAACCGAAAACAUAAACAUGAGCACUCUCAUUUCCUUGAUAAUAAUAAAGGUGUCAAAUAUAUCAUGAAGAAAUAGAUGGAAAAACCUACGUUAGAAGAAAAUCACGACCAGGCAUCCAGGAUAGAUGACCUGAGUGCCUUUCUUCGCGUCCCCAAGAUCCAUUUGACCAACAGUUCAUAACGACAUAGGGUGCGCUACUGCCAUAUAAAAAACGUGGAUUUAAAUGCAACGCAAUUGUCGGAUGUGGAUAAACUGCUUUUCCCUUUUGUAAAUUUACAUAAAAUCUGUUAGCAAAUAUAGAAA